UAUUGGGGUUCUAUUGUCGGUGGAGUUCUACGGUCGCCAUAACGGCGGAUUGUCCCCCCAUCCGCCAGGUGGCGCGAGUGUCUUCGUGAGGAAGAAAUAUUUGCCAUUUGUUCCGAGACGCUGACAUGAAAGUGUCUUCCAAGUCUAUUGGUGUCGAUCUACAUUUUUAGCCAUUAAAUGUAAUUGGUAGUCUGGCAUAUAAUUUCACUUGGCCAAAUGUGAUGACGUGGGUCGAAACUGCUGUGCUGUCCAUUUUGUCGAAAUGUCGGCCAUUGUUAGCUGUACGUCUCAUCUGGUGCAGAAACACUUCGGAGCUAUUGAUUUUCAGGUCGGAAGAUUGGAGAUCCCUUUGCUAAACUGUUGCAGAAAUUUAGAACACGACAAAGUCUGAGCUUCAUGGCUGUAGUAUCAU